rfam:Fukomys damarensis contig103480, whole genome shotgun sequence.
GUUGCUCACUUCAGCAACACAUAUACUAAAAUUGGAACUAUACAGAGAUUAGCAUGGCCCCUGCACAAGGAUGACAUGAAAAUUCAUGAAGCGUUCCAUAUUUUA